rnacentral:lncRNA from 1 species
GCAGCGUUCAAGCAGUGAGAAAUGGAGCUGUCGUAAAACACGGCCAAGCACAUCGUAGACGUUUCCUGGUUCUUGCACUUGACUAUAUGAACUUUACCUCUGCUGACCGGUUUUAUGUCAGCUUGACCCAAACUUGAGUCAUUUGUGAAGAGGUCACCUCAGCUGAGAAAAUGUACCUAUAGAAUGGUACGUGGUGCUGGGGCUUUAAGAAAGCAGGUCAAGCAAACAAUGGGGGAACAAUCCAGAAAACACCCUUCUUCCACGCCUCUGCAUCAGCUCCUGUCGUCAGGUUCCUGUCUUUCCCUGACUUCCCUUCACGAUGGACUGUAAUCUGUGGUCCCACAAUCCUGGAAGGCAAGUCCCUGCCCCUUACCUCGUCCUAAUUUGGAGGACAAGAGAAUGUGCGUGGAAGGAACCCUCCCAUCUGCCCCAGGACACUACACAAGCAACCACAAUAUAAACUAGGCCUUGCUCUUAUUUGUCUUGCUCAAAUCCUACCCGUUUCCCACCCCGAGUCCCGGGUUCCAAUCUGCCCCCACUUCGGCGCUGCGGACACUCACCACGCCACUCGAGGGUCGGUUCCUGGGUGUGAGUCAAAUCUUGGGCGCUGCCCCGGUGAACCCCCAGCAGCAGCAGCUGCAGCCAGAGCAGCUGCAGCAUCGCUAACCACUGCACCAUCAGGUACGCUAGGUGACACCCACGGGGACCAGAACCGUGUCCCCUGCUCUGGACUAGACUGCAGGAGGCAAGAAGAGAAGCUACCACUCUUCUCGAGGACCUCGCCACCCUGGAGCCCUGGGGAUGAACUCGCCUCCCUUGUCGCCACAGCGUGUACACUUGGGGCUUCUGGGCGUGGAGACGCAAAUAGCGGAGUUUUCCCCGCCCCGCCCACACGGCUUUGGGGAGGGAGCAGGAAGAAGGGCAGGGCCCUGUCCAGCUCAAACACUCUGGCCUUUGGGGGUUAGGAGAAAGCAGGGCUAAGGCUGCAGCAGCGUGGCUCCCCUUCCCCGCUUCACGAGUGCUCAAACUUCUCUCUCUCGGGAUUGCUGCAAUCCCUGGUGAUGAUGGUGUACCCGUCAGCAGCGUGGGUGAGCGAGCUAAUCCUCUCCAGGAGAAAAAACAAGCCCGCUGGAUUUGCAAGGAUUUGGCCGGCCCGCAGAGGAGUCAAAAGAGCUGCAGGGUGAACUCAGGCCUGGGACGCCUCUGGAAUGCAGAGCACAGGAGACACCUAGGGGCCCAACCUGGUCUUCAACAUUGCUCCAGAGUAACCAGAAGUCACCUUCAGUAUCCAGCUUUAUCCUCAUUUAAAAUAACCCCAAGCUUCUGUUUUCUUAGAUCAUCUUCAUCUAAUCAAAUAUACUGUAGAGUUGAAGAACCCAGUCAGAAAGGCGUGUGACUGCAUCUCGGUUACUCCUUAACUCAACAAAACUUACUCCCUAAAUUAGUUGACAAUAAAUGAAUACAAAACAUUAAGCUGCCCAAA